GGGGGGCCAAUGUGACUGCUUCAGCAGAAAACAAAGCUUCGAGUGACAUUGCAUGUAGCAAAGCAAAUUUUGGGCUGAACUCCACGGACUCAUUGUCUAGACUUAAAACCAGCAUUGGUGAGGAAAACAAUACCUGUCAUUCAUCUGAACGUGACACAGUUUAUGGCACGCCUAACAGAAAUCAGUCUCUUCAUAGUCUGUGGAUAACUAGAUUCUCAAACAGGACUCCCGGGACUACUGUUCUGAGCGCAGAUAAUCCCAAGCCAACUGCACAUGAAACACUAACAUGUUCCACGGAAUGCAGAAGGCCUAGUCCUCAAGCUCAAACGAGUGUUGAUUGUGUGAUUGAACACCAAAUCUCAGGCGCAAGGGAGACUUCGUCUGGAGACGAAGACGAUGAUGUUGCAGCCAGCUCAAAAGAGGUCAAUCAGAGUAAUAUACAUCCUAUUAUACCUUCCGCCAAGUUCAAGAAAUCCGAGGCGCUGGCCUCUCUAUUUGCCAGGAGAUUGGAUGCCCUUAAACACAUACUACCUUCUUCAACUAGAGGUGAGUACAGUUACACAAGAACAACUUGUUUCUUCUGCGGCAGAAGCGGCCACGACUUACGCAACUGUUCAGAGGUGACGGAGUCUGAGUUAGAAGUUCUUAUUAAAAACAUCAGGGCCUAUAAUGGGACUGAGGAAUCUACUUGUCUGUGCAUUAGAUGUUCAUUGGGCUAUUUCCUGCCCAACAUCAUCUCCAAACCGGAACAGGAAUGAUAGUUUGCAGCUCUUCACAGGCAAUGAAUGUUCAUCUAGCCUUGUGGAAAUAAAGCAAAGGCAACGGCUUGAACUUACUAAUCAGGCUUAUCACAGUAAAAAUCAGCUUUGGUUUGCAAGAACCUCUGGUUCCAAUCAAAUUCAGAAAAAGAGAACUUCUCAUGUGGAGAACAGUUUUAAAGAAAGUAUAAUUUCUUCCAAUCUUGUUGGUAAGGAGAUAACAGAUGUCCCGAAAGGAAUUUUUGAUGUCAUCAGGGGUCUCCGAUUGUUUCGUGUGGAUAUUCUCAAUUGGAUGAACUCCAACACUUCACUAUCACAUUUGGAUGGGCUUUUCCUGCGUUUACGAUUAGGGAAGUGGGAAGCAGGGCGAGGAGGUACAUGAUACUAUGUUGCUUGCAUAACUGGUGUAAAAGGAGAAAAAUCUGAGAGAGAUUCUAGGAACAUAUCAGUAAAUGUCUGUGGAGUCGAGUGUUUUGUGGGAAGCCAAUAUGUCUCCAACCAGGACUUUUUGGAGGAUGAACUAACUACUUGGUGGCGCAAAACGUUGGAGAGUGGCGGGAAGGUUCCUGCAGAAGAAGAUUUAAGACAAAAAUUCGAGGAGCGCAUGAAACUAGGGUUCUAAGAACUCGUCACACCAACACAUUAGUACCGAGUUUGGUUAAUCCAAGAGUGUCAAACCAGACCAAGAAAUGAGCUAUUCCACCAUCUUGUAAAUAAGAUUUUGGGUGCUAUUUCACAACAUUCUUUGUUCUUUUUAUCUAAUAUUCUAGACAUGUGAGAUUGAGAAUUAUUUUUUAGUGUUCAUCUUUUGUAUAUAGAUGAAUUUGUUUGUGAUCAUAAGGCAAUGAAAUGUUAAAUAACACGAGA